GCUCCAGGGACCACACAUUCGCUCCAUAAGACGCACUUUUUUCCUCUUAAAAAGUAAGGGGAAAUGUCUGUGCGUCUUAUGGAGCGAAUGUGUGGUCCCUGGAGC